UAUAUGGCUGUUUCCGAGUUGUAUUGC
rnacentral:sRNA from 1 species